GCCCCCGUAGCUCAGGUGGAUAGAGCGACUGCCUCCUAAGCAGUAGGCCCCAGGUUCGAGUCCUGGCGGGGGCA
rfam:Gemmatimonas sp. SG8_23 WOR_8-12_4661, whole genome shotgun sequence.